UUCGAUUCCGAGUUCGUCACAAAAAUCCGCAAAGAGAUUGUGAUCAAACUCUCCCCCAUGAUAACUUCUAAUCGGAGUGACGGUCGAUUCCUUUUCGUUUUGAACACGCUUAAGGAAAUACUUAAAAUUUUGAAAAGCAUUCACUUUUAUUUGCAAGAAAUAGAGUCCAAGUAAAUCUAGAAAAGUCAUCAACAAUUACAAA
rnacentral:lncRNA from 1 species